AGCCACAGCCAUAUCACCCUGCAGCCCAAGACUGGUUGCCCACUGAAGCUAAGCAGGGUUGAGUCUGGUCAGUACCUGGAUGGGAGACCUCCAGGGAAAACUAGGUUGCUGUUGGAA
rnacentral:rRNA from 1 species